UACAGAGGUCUCAAGCGUUGUUCGGAUUCAUUGGGCGUAAAGGGUGCGUAGGUGGCGCUGUAAGUCAGGUGUGAAAUCCCCGGGCUUAACCUGGGAAUUGCGCUUGAAACUAGGUCGCUAGAGUGUGGCAGAGGGGGGUGGAAUUCCGACGUGUAGCAGUGAAAUGCGUAGAGAUGUGGAGGAACACCGAUGGCGAAGGCAGCCCCCCUGGGUCAACACUGACGCUCAUGCACGAAAGCGUGGGGAGCAAACAGG
rnacentral:rRNA from 1 species